CCUACGGGAGGCUGCAGUGAGGAAUAUUGGUCAAUGGGCGCGAGCCUGAACCAGCCAAGUAGCGUGAAGGAUGACGGCCCUACGGGUUGUAAACUUCUUUUGUAAAGGAGUAAAGGGAGCCACGUGUGGCUUUUUGGAUGUACCUUAUGAAUAAGGAUCGGCUAACUCCGUGCCAGCAGCCGCGGUAAUACGGAGGAUCCGAGCGUUAUCCGGAUUUAUUGGGGUUAAAGGGAGCGUAGGGGGGUUGUUAAGUUAGUUGUGAAAGUUUGGGGCUCAACCCUAAAAUUGCAAGUGAUACUGGCCGUCUUGAGUAGAGUUGCGGUAGGCGGAAUGCGUGGUGUAGCGGUGAAAUGCUUAGAUAUCACGCAGAACCCCGAUUGCGAAGGCAGCUUAU
rnacentral:rRNA from 1 species